UACGUAGGGGGCAAGCGUUGUCCGGAAUCAUUGGGCGUAAAGAGCGUGUAGGCGGUCCGGUAAGUCGGCUGUGAAAGUCCGGGGCUCAACCCUGGGAUGCCGGUCGAUACUGCCGGACUAGAGUUCGGAAGAGGCGAGUGGAAUUCCCGGUGUAGCGGUGAAAUGCGCAGAUAUCGGGAGGAACACCUAUGGCGAAGGCAGCUCGCUGGGACGUUACUGACGCUGAGACGCGAAAGCGUGGGGAGCAAACAGG
rnacentral:rRNA from 1 species